rnacentral:rRNA from 1 species
AGACGUAGGGGGCGAGCGUUGUCCGGAAUUACUGGGCGUAAAGGGCGUGUAGGCGGCCUUUCAAGUCGGCUGUGAAAUACCCCGGCUCAACCGGGGGGGUGCAGUCGAAACUGGGGGGCUUGAGUGCAGGAGAGGAGGGUGGAAUUCCCGGUGGAGCGGUGAUAUGCGUAGAUAUCGGGAGGAACACCGGUGGCGAAGGCGACCUUCUGGCCUGUUACUGACGCUGAGGCGCGAAAGCCGGGGGAGCAAACAGGAUUAGAUACCCUGGUAGUCCCGGCCGUAAACGCUGGGUACUAGGUGUAGGGGGCUUUGAUGCCUUCUGUGCCGUAGUUAACGCAUUAAGUACCCCGCCUGGGGAGUACGUGCGCAAGCAUGAA